AUAUCAUUCAAGUUUCUGACCUAUCAGCUUUAGACGGUAGGGUAUUGGCCUACCGUGGCUAUGACGGGUAACGGGGAAUUAGGGUUCGAUUCCGGAGAGGGAGCCUGAGAAACGGCUACCACAUCUAAGGAAGGCAGCAGGCGCGCAAAUUACCCAAUCCUAAUACAGGGAGGUAGUGACAAGAAAUAACAAUACAGAGCCUUACGGUUUUGUAAUUGGAAUGAGUUAAGUGUAAACCCCUUAACAAGUAUCAAUUGGAGGGCAAGUCUGGUGCCAGCAGCCGCGGUAAUUCCAGCUCCAAUAGCGUAUAUUAAAGUUGUUGCAGUUAAAAAGCUCGUAGUUAAUUUUCUGUUAAUUUUUAUAUACAAUGCUACGGUAUUUAUAUAAUAUUAACAUAAUUCAUAUUACUUUUUAGUAUAUGAAACUUUACUUUGAGAAAAUUAGAGUGCUUAAAGCAGGCUAUUGCCUUGAAUACUCCAGCAUGGAAUAAUAUUAAGGAUUUUUAUUCUUCUUAUUGGUUCUAGAAUAAAAAUAAUGAUUAAUAGGGACAGUUGGGGGCAUUUGUAUUUAACAGUCAGAGGUGAAAUUCUUAGAUUUGUUAAAGACAAACUACUGCGAAAGCAUUUGCCAAGGAUGUUUUCAUUAAUCAAGAACGAAAGUUAGGGGAUCGAAGACGAUCAGAUACCGUCGU
rnacentral:rRNA from 1 species